UAACCUAUCUAGUGAUAGAUAGCUGAACAGUCAGAAGUCAGCAGAGGUCAUAGUAUUAGUUGGUCUAGAACAACUAAGAAGGAC
rfam:Bacillus thermoamylovorans genome assembly, strain 1A1, contig: A1A_CC32